AACAAACGCUGGCGGCGUGCCUAACACAUGCAAGUCGUACGAGAAAGUCGGCUUCGGCCGAUGAGUACAGUGGCGCACGGGUGAGUAGCGCGUGGGUAAUCUGCCCCCCGGGCAGGAAUAACCCGCCGAAAGGCGGGCUAAUACCCGAUAACACUGACGCUCUGCGGAGUGUCUUUCAAAGAAGGCCUCUGUUUACAAGCUUUCGCCGGAGGAUGAGCCCGCGUACCAUUAGCUAGUUGGCAGGGUAAUGGCCUACCAAGGCAACGAUGGUUAGCUGGUCUGAGAGGAUGGCCAGCCACACUGGAACUGAGACACGGUCCAGACUCGUACGGGAGGCAGCAGUGAGGAAUCUUGCGCAAUGGGGGAAACCCUGACGCAGCAACGCCGCGUGAGUGAAGAAGGCUUUCGGGUCGUAAAGCUCUGUCAGAUGGGAAGAAAUGGAUGGGGGCUAAUAUCGUCCAUCCUUGACGGUACCAUCAGAGGAAGCACCGGCUAACUCCGUGCCAGCCGCCGCGGUAAAAC
rnacentral:rRNA from 1 species